rnacentral:lncRNA from 1 species
AGAGCAGGACUUGUCUCUUGUGAAGGAAUGGAACAAGCAAAGAAACUUGUGUUGGUGUCAGGUUGGUGUAGCUGGAUCACCCAAGUAGUAGCCCUUGAUCUCCUUUCAUGACGGAUAGGCUCAGUUAGUCAGGAAUGUUUACACCUCAGUUAACUUCAGUGAUUGACUUAAAGACUGGGAGGUAUAUUGCCUGUGAGAGAAAUGUCUUUUCAUGAAUCCUAAGGACAUGCUGUGUCAGCUAAACCUACAAUUGAUUGCUUCUAGAGUUUAAAAAGGGAAAGUUGUGCUUGUAUUUGCAAGUUGAAUUUUUUUAAUGUUGGUUCCAAAAACAGUGAAUUAGCUGAAAAGAAAUGGAGAAGUGUCUUGGAGAUUUACUGAAAUAGCUAAUUGUCAGGUGCUUAAGCUUUUGUGCAGUAAGCCUAAAAGUUAGCAGAAGAUGGCCUCCUGCCAGCAGGAAAUCUUUACCCUUUAGUACCCGAACCAGUCUCAAGGUGUUCUUUGGAAAUAACCAGGGUUAAAGUUUUUAAUUUCUCAGGAAGAGCUCUUCAGCAUGGCAGGACGUGUAAUGAGGGCUUUCGCAAGUCCUUCAGCGCUGCAGAGCAGUAAGCUAUCCAUCCAGUGAGUGUGGCGGCUCUUUCUACAGCUGAACUCCUCCUCAGUUGAGUUUUCAGUUUCUGGCUUGCUUCUCCCUUUGUAUAGGGGAGAACAGAGAAGAGGUUUAUGCUGAGGGGGGGUGACUUUUUAGAAACGUAGCUUCUUGGCGUUUUGCAACCCAUGCUGGCCUCCCUCCUGCAGAUGGCAUAGGAGUCCGUCUGUCUUUGGACUGUCUCCUCUGCUGUUGUUCCUGCUCUCUCCGUUUCUGUCUAGAUGUCAGGAAAAGGUUUAAUGUUUAAUAUUUAAACAAAAUAUUUAUAUCUACACAAUAAAGUUAAUCAACCUUCAAACC